GUGUUUCUGGGGUGUUUUUGGGGUGCAUUUCUGGUCUCUCCUGACCCGUUUUCCCCCCUGCCCAGCCCAAGGUGGUGUGGCUGAAGAACCAGGUUUUGGGGUCACCUUGUGGGGUGUUUUUGGGGUGGAUUUGGGGGUCCCCCAACCCAUUCUCCCCAUCCCAAUGGGGCUGUGGGUUCACCCCGAGGUGUGGGUGUUUCUGGGGUGUUUUUGGGGUGCAUUUCUGGUCCCUCCUGACCCGUUUUCCCCCCUGCCCAGCCCAAGGUGGUGUGGCUGAAGAACCAGAUGGCCAUCGGGGACGACCCGCGGUUCCUGGCCCGGCACAGCCAGGGGGUCCUGACCCUGCUCAUCCGCAAGCCGGGCCCCUUCGACGGCGGCACCUACGGCUGCAGGGCCAGCAACGAGCUGGGGGAGGCCCUGACCGAGUGCAGGCUCGAGAUCCGCGUAGUGCCCCAGUGACGGAGACACAGGAUGGCUGCCCACGGUGGGGAGGAAGAAGAGGGUGAAGGCCCCCAGAGCCCCCCAAAAAUAAAGAGUUUCAGCAGCCCCCAAAAAUAAA